rnacentral:tRNA from 1 species
AGCCCUGUAGUAUAGUGGUCAAGUAUAAUGGACUCUGGCUCCGUUGACCCAGGUUCGAAUCCUGGCGGGGCUA